UUAAUGGCUCUUUUCAGAGCCAUUAUUUUACUUGAAGUUUGCUG
rfam:Pan troglodytes isolate Yerkes chimp pedigree #C0471 (Clint) chromosome X, whole genome shotgun sequence.